rnacentral:lncRNA from 1 species
AUAAUGAACAAUCAUAAAGCCAGUACGGUUAUGCCCAUGAGUACAAUGAACAAGUACGUAUUUGGGAUUCCUUGAUGGCUUCUGGCGCUCAUGAAAUGCCAACACCUAAAAUUUAGCAUGGAUGGAGAUUCAUCAGCUAGAUUGUUUAAAGGAAAUUUGCUGCAAUUAGUUUAUCAAUAUUCUGGUCCAUGUGUUUUCCAAGUGGGGAGACUACAAU